rnacentral:rRNA from 1 species
GAUGAACGCUAGCGGCAGGCUUAACACAUGCAAGUCGAGGGGUAACAGGAAGUGCUUGCACUUCGCUGACGACCGGCGAACGGGUGCGUAACGCGUAUGCAACCUACCUUCUACAGGGGGAUAGCCCAGAGAAAUUUGGAAUAAUACCCCAUACGGUCAUUUAAUGGCAUCGUUAAAUGAAGAAAACUCCGGUGGUAGAAGAUGGGCAUGCGUCCUAUUAGUUAGUUGGUAAGGUAAUGGCUUACCAAGACACCGAUAGGUAGGGGUCCUGAGAGGGAGAUCCCCCACACUGGUACUGAGACACGGACCAGACUCCUACGGGAGGCAGCAGUGAGGAAUAUUGGACAAUGGAGGCAACUCUGAUCCAGCCAUGCCGCGUGCAGGAAGACGGCCCUACGGGUUGUAAACUGCUUUUAUACAGGAAGAAACUGCGCUACGAGUAGCGUACUGACGGUACUGUAAGAAUAAGGAUCGGCUAACUCCGUGCCAGCCGCCGCGGUAACAC